rnacentral:tRNA from 1 species
AGCCAUGUGGCCGAGGGGCGAGGCAAGGGUCUGCAAAACCUUUUUACGGCGGUUCGAAUCCGUCCAUGGCGU